CACCCGUCAGGCGCGGCUCGCGUGUGAACGCGGGGCUGUGCCUCGGGGCGGAGCGGGCGCAGCGUGCAAGCGCUCUGCUGGCUCGGCCUGUCCCGUCCUUCACCGGGCGGUGCUAAGUGCCGUGCAGCAGCUGGCGCCUAUAGUUUCUCCAGAGGUAAAGCAUAUGCGCUGGUCAGGGGUGAGGGUUCUCGGCUAGGCGUUAAAUUAGGGGCUCAAACAUGAUCUCCAAGGGUGUUCUAGAUUCUCUCAUGAUUUGGCUGUGUCAUCGACCCUAGGAAUACAGGUUUUCUAAUAGAUCUUACUUGAGGAUACUAUGUCACAGGAGAGAACAUGGCAGACCAGUUUACAGGCAACAAAAGCAUGAGUGCUCCCGAAUUGUGUCACUCAGUGAAAGACUGUGUUAAAAUGAGAGUUCCAAUUCACUCUGGAUUUCAUAAAAGCAGGACGAAAUAGCUCUUCAUUCUGUUACAAUAGCUGUGAUAAAGUUAGAAUGAAGUUGAAAGUAAGGAUUUGGGAGGAGAGUAGUGGAAAAGGGAGGAACUGAAAGCAGCAGAAGUGGAAGGCAGUGAUGUAUGACUCUCAUCACAGAUGAGAAUGACAGACCACUUGGGGUGAAGAUGCCUGAAGAUUUACUACCAGAGAUUAUUAAUUUUAUAUAUAUGUAGUUGUGAAACAAAAUAUGCAAGCUCCACACCCCCC